UGGGGAAUAUUGCACAAUGGGCGAAAGCCUGAUGCAGCGACGCCGCGUGAGGGAUGACGGCCUUCGGGUUGUAAACCUCUUUCAGCAGGGACGAAGCGCAAGUGACGGUACCUGCAGAAGAAGCACCGGCUAACUACGUGCCAGCAGCCGCGGUAAUACGUAGGGUGCAAGCGUUGUCCGGAAUUACUGGGCGUAAAGAGUUCGUAGGCGGUUUGUCGCGUCGUUUGUGAAAACCAGCAGCUCAACUGCUGGCUUGCAGGCGAUACGGGCAGACUUGAGUACUGCAGGGGGGGCUGGAAUUCCUGGUGUAGCGGUGAAAUGCGCAGAUAUCAGGGGGAACACCGGUGGCGAAGGCGGGUCUCUGGGCAGUAACUGACGCUGAGGAACGAAAGCGUGGGUAGCGAACAGG
rnacentral:rRNA from 1 species